GGAAGCGUAUUCAGGCCGGAGCUGGGAGAAGAGGGGUGCCAGGGCUCAGCCCAGGAGGACAGAAAAUCGUGGCCUGCCCCCUGCUGGUAUUAUUUUAAAUCGUAUUUUGGGAAAGACUCUCACCUUGACCAAACCUGAGUCAGACUCCUCUGAGUCCUCUUCUCCCUGAGGUCCUACCUUGAACUCUGUCCUUGGCUCCUUUGUCGAGUUUUGGCAAAAAUUCUGCUGGGACCUGACACUUUGGUACCUCUUGAACAUGGAUCCCUAAUCUCCAUGGUGUUUGCAACCUUUCCACGUUGGAAUGUUCAAGAGCUACAAGAUACUGUAUACAAGCGUGCAACAUGUGGCAAGAGAGGGAAAAUUCAAGAACUGAAUGGAGAAAAAGCUGUGUGUUUUUUUUUUUAAUUAACCCAAUUACAACUUGAUGUUGACUUGGUAUUUUUCUCAGAUGCCUUACACAUGUUAUGGAAAUAGCUAAUGAGGAAGAAGGCCAAAGAUGGAAAAUCUGAUAUGGCAAUUUUCUUUUGCUAAAAAACAUCAAUCAUGUAAUUAUUAUCAACAAAAAAUGCCAAGUAAUUGAAUUUCUAUAUGUAAUAUGAAUCAUUGCAAGUCCUCACUAUUUCUUUGUGAAUUUACCAACUGACUAUGCAUUCCUCUCCAAACCUACAAACUUAUUGGCAACAUAGAACCCAGAGAUAAGUUAGUUUAACCAAAUUUAUCAUUCUAAAGUUUCUGCAAAAUUGAAGAACAGAAUCUGAAUCCUUGAUGUAAAUUCAGUUGCCUCAAAGUACUCCCUUUCGGCUAAAAGAUUUCACCUACAACCUCAGAGAAAUGCUGAGAAAACUAACUUGAUUUUUGCAUAUUUUUCAUCUUUCAGAGACUUGGUGGUAUGGGCAAAGUCAUCCAAAAACAAACCAACAACCAAAAAACUGCCAAGCUUUAGGACAGUUGGCCUUUGUGGAGGCAACACUUUGCCUAAUAUAAUAUUCAGCAUACAUAGUGUAGUUAUCGCGUGAACCACUAGUGUCUGCUCGGGAGCCUGGAAACUGAAACAGUGAGUUAUGUUACACAGUACCUAUUAUUAUUAUGGCCAGUAGCAGCAGUGGUGGUGGGGUAAUAGUAGCGGUGUAAAAUUUAUAGUGAAUAUAAUUCACUUGGUACUAUUAUUUCCUUUGUGUGGUCACAAUUAGUUCAUAACUAAAUUCUCAGCACUAAAAUCCAAACUUUCCCCUCUUUGCAACAUUUUCAGUAAAAUGUAUAACUCUCUUCCAAGGCAGGCUAUAUUAAUAGAAGUUUCAAGUUGCUCCUAAGUGUUCCUAGGGCAAAGCAACUGACAAUUGUUUUGUUAAAUCAGUGUCAUGUUCACUUACUUAAGGAGAUUCUGGUCUGAAAAAAUAGUAAGGCAGGCUGUUUCAUUUCUCUUACAAGAAUAGAAUAAAAUUUUUUUUCAAAGCUAGAGAAGAUUUCACAGUGCAUUUUCGCUCACAAUGGAGAGAAAUCUUCCUUCACUAUUUCUUGCUCCUUCCCUUUGGCCUUGCUGUAAAAAGGAUAAAUUGACAGUUGGGAAGAGCACACCAGGGAACCUACUUUUUCUCCCCUCUGUUCUCUUGUAAACCAAUGUCUGUUCUCUGUAAACCAAUGGUUCUCCUAGUGUUGUCAGAGACGCUUUCAGGGGCAUCACAGCGAUCUUCCUAGUAAUUCUACGUAAGACGUUGCUUCCUCUUUCUUGCUCGUCCUCCCGUGAGUGUACAGUGGGGUUUUCCACAGCUGUGUGACACGUAAUGUGGCGUCCCAGGUGGUGCGGUGGUGAAGAAUCUGCCUGCCAAUUCAGGAGAG